AUUGAACGCUGGCGGCAUGCCUAACACAUGCAAGUCGAGCGGAUGAAGGGGGCUUUCUCCCGGAUUCCGUGGCGGGCGGGGGAGUGAUGCCCAGGAAUCUGCCCGGUCGGUGGGGAUAACGUCCGGAAAAGGGCGCUAAUAUCGCAUACGACCUGAGGGUGAAAGUGGGGGUUCUUCGGAGCUCACGCUAUCUGAUGUGACUAGGUCGGGGUUGCUAGUUGGUGGGGUGAAGGCCUACCAAGGCGACUAUCCGUAUCCGGUCUGAGAGGGUGAUCAGACACACUGGAACUGAGACACGGUCCAGACUCCUACGGGAGGCAGCAGUAGGGAAUAUUGGGCCAUGGGCGAAAGCCUGACUCAGCCAAGCCGCGUGUGUGAAGAAGGUCUUCGGAUUGUAAAGCACUUUAAGUUGGGAAGAAGAGCAGUAUGAUUAAACCUUGCUGUUUUGACGUUACCAACAGAAUAAGCACCGGCUAACUUCGUG
rnacentral:rRNA from 1 species